rnacentral:tRNA from 1 species
GGGCUCGUAGCUCAGUGGGAGAGCGCUCGCCUCACACGCGAGAGGUCGCUGGUUCAAAACCAGCCGGGCCCA